GGCUGGUCUGAAUGCAGUGGUGGGUGUUUACAACUAAUUGAUCACAACCAGUUACAGAUUCCUUUGUUCCUUUUCCACUCCGACUGCUUCACUUGACUAAUCUUAA
rnacentral:Y_RNA from 1 species